AUUUAUACUUGAAAAUUAAAUUAUGUGGCGGUAUUUUAAUCUAAUCAGAGGAACCUGUUAAUUAAUUGAUAAUUCACGAUCUUAUUUACUUUUAUUUUUAAUUUGUAUAUCGUUGUGAUUAAUUAUUUAAUAUUAUAUAAUUAAUAGUUAAUAAAUUUUAUUUUAUUUUUAAUCAAAUCAAGAUACAGUUUAUAUAAAAGAUUUAAUGGGUUACAUUAAAAUUAUUUUUGGAAGUGUGUAGUUAAUUUACACAGAUAAAAUUGGAUUUGAUAGUAAUUUUAUUUAGGUAUUUAAUGUGAUUUUAGUUCUAAAAUAUGU
rnacentral:rRNA from 1 species